rnacentral:misc_RNA from 1 species
UGAAAGAUUAUGAUUGUGUAAUUGACUACCACCCUGGGAAGGCAAAUGUAGUCGCUGAUGUUUUAAGCAGAAAAUCUAUUGUAGCAUUAAGAUCUCUGAAUGCCCAACUAUCCUUAACUCAUGAUGGAGUUAUUUUGGCUGAGUUGCUAGUGAAGCCGAAUAUGUUACAACAGAUACAGGAUGGGCAGAAGACAGAUGAGAAAUUAAUGGAUGUUAUGGGCAAAAUCACUGAGGGGAAGGAAACUGAAUAUGAAGUGAAAGAAAAUGGGUGCCUGUACUAUAAAGAAAGAGUGUGUGUUCCAGAUGAUAAAGAGUUGAAAACCAGUAUUCUGA